UACGUAGGGUGCGAGCGUUAAUCGGAAUUACUGGGCGUAAAGCGUGCGCAGGCGGUUCGUUAUGUCCGUUGUGAAAGCCCCGGGCUCAACCUGGGAAUGGCAAUGGAAACUGGCCGGGCUAGAGUGUGGCAGAGGGGGGUGGAAUUCCGCCGUGUAGCAGUGAAAUGCGUAGAGAUGCGGAGGAACACCGAUGGCGAAGGCAGCCCCCCUGGGCUAGCACUGACGCUCAGGCACGAAAGCGUGGGGAGCAAACAGGG
rnacentral:rRNA from 1 species